rnacentral:rRNA from 1 species
CAGUCGCCACGGGAAUACGUAGGUGGCAAGCGUUGUCCGGAAUUAUUGGGCGUAAAGGGUGCGUAGGCGGUUCAGCAAGUCUCGUGUGAAAUCUUCGGGCUCAACCCGAAGUCUGCACGGGAAACUACUGGGCUUGAGUAAUGGAGAGGUGAGUGGAAUCUCCGGUGUAGCGGUGAAAUGCGUAGAUAUCGGAAGGAACACCUGUGGCGAAAGCGGCUCACUGGACAUUUACUGACGCUGAUGCACGAAAGCUAGGGGAGCAAACAGGAUUAGAUACCCCAGUAGUCCCUGUCUCUUAUAC